rnacentral:rRNA from 1 species
GGGUCAGUAGGUUGGUCGUGCCACCGGUACGUACUGGUCUCACUGAUUCCUCCUUCCUGAAGAACCGUUAUGCCAUUAAUUUGGUGUUGCGGUGAAACAGGACUGUUACUUUGAAAAAAUUAGAGUGUUUAAAGCAAGCUAACGCUUGAAUACAUUAGCAUGGAAUAAUGAAAUAGGACGAUCGAUCCUAUUUUGUUGGUUUCUAGGAUUGACGUA